rnacentral:rRNA from 1 species
UACGUAGGGUGCAAGCGUUGUCCGGAAUUAUUGGGCGUAAAGAGCUCGUAGGCGGUCUGUCGCGUCGGCUGUGAAAUCCCGAGGCUCAACCUCGGGUCUGCAGUCGAUACGGGCAAACUGGAGUGUUGCAGGGGAGACUGGAAUUCCUGGUGUAGCGGUGAAAUGCGCAGAUAUCAGGAGGAACACCGGUGGCGAAGGCGGGUCUCUGGGCAGUAACUGACGCUGAGGAGCGAAAGCGUGGGGAGCGAACAGG